ACCCGCACAAGCGGUGGAGCAUGUGGUUAAUUCGAAGCAACGCGAAGAACCUUACCAGGUCUUGACAUCCUCUGACAAUCCUAGAGAUAGGACUUUCCCCUUCGGGGGACAGAGUGACAGGUGGUGCAUGGUUGUCGUCAGCUCGUGUCGUGAGAUGUUGGGUUAAGUCCCGCAACGAGCGCAACCCUUAUUCUUAGUUGCCAGCAUUAAGUUGGGCACUCUAAGGAGACUGCCGGUGACAAACCGGAGGAAGGUGGGGAUGACGUCAAAUCAUCAUGCCCCUUAUGACCUGGGCUACACACGUGCUACAAUGGAUGGUACAAAGGGCUGCAAAACCGCGAGGUCAAGCCAAUCCCAUAAAACCAUUCUCAGUUCGGAUUGUAGGCUGCAACUCGCCUACAUGAAGCCGGAAUCGCUAGUAAUCGUGGAUCAGCAUGCCACGGUGAAUACGUUCCCGGGUCU
rnacentral:rRNA from 1 species